UCCACAGGGUUGCAAAGAGCUGGACACAAGUGAGCACACAGCACAGCACACAGUCAUAAAUCCUGGGUAGCCCAGACAGAGGAGCUUUCCACUCGAACACAAUAGGCAGUGUUCCAUAGUUAAUAGGAGAAUUUCCAUAGUUUUAUGUAAGAUGAUAAUGGUGAGUAAAGGAUGGGAAUCAGUUUUACUUUUUAAGUAUUUGUUUUCCACAUUGUCAAAAUUAAAGAUAGCUUCAUGCUUCAUCCUCUCUUCCCCAAACCCUCCUCCUCCUUUCCUUUAUAUUUUCUCCUUUGCUACUUCAAUCAAAUGGAAUUAAAAGGCCAAAGCAAAGAGACACUAUCAUGGAUGUGAACCAUCCAAGGACCACAGUGGCAACCCAGUCAUCCUGAUGAUUUGAAAAGAAGCCUCAUGAAGAGCAUUGUGAAGAAUGUGGCAAAAAAAAGUUCCCAGGUAGUCAGAAUACAUGUUAAUUUGGCCCCAGACAUCUCUUUUGUUCUAAGUUUUCUCAUGAGAACAAGCAGGAAAUGAGUGUUUGCACCAGGCCACGUAGAUUGAAGCAGGAACAGGAGCUUCUGCCCCAUUUCGCUAAGCCGAAAGCCACAUGAAGAUGGAAGAAGUCAUUAAAGACAUGAACAUGUCUGCUUCUGAGUAUGAUGUGGUAGUAGUAGAAGGCAAUCACAACUAGAAAAAAAAGUUUAUAGAAGUCAAGAAGAAUAUAAAAUUCACAAAAAUAAAUUUUAGAGAGAGAAAAGGCUAAAACUGCUGGUCAUUUUCUUGCCUGGGAGCAUCUGCUGAGUCUGUUCAUAAGCUUUCAUAGUAAAGGUGAGAAACAAAAGUUUUUAUAUUCAUGCUGAUUAGCAUGGACAAAUUAGAAUAUACAGGACUGUCAAAUAGCCAUUUUCUCCCAGAGAAUAUUUGCUGAGAGCUAGGGCAGAGUAGGGGGUCUUCCCGAGUGAUGCAGUGGUAAAGAAUAUACCUGCCAGUGCAGGAAAUCCAGGCUCAAUCCCUGGGUU